AUAUCCAAUUUAUAAAAACAUUUCUAAAUCACAAAAAAAUGAAAGGCGAUGAUAUAAUGGUGAUUUACAUUAUUAUGAAAUGGUCUGCACACAUGUAUAUUUCAAUAAAAGAAUAGAAAGGGUGAGUUUUACCAGUCUUCUCUUUUACGAUGUAAACGUAUCAAAAAGUACUUAUCGUUCAAAAAAAUAUAUGUUUAAGGGAACAAAGACUUUAUUUACAUCGACUAUACGCCGUGAGAUCCGCAAAGCUUGUUGCAAAACUAUUUAGUAAAGUAUUUUCUAAAGUUCGUUCUAAUUCUGGAUUUGAUUAUAAAAAGUGUAUUUUUUAACAUGAUAAUCCUUCGCAGCCUUGAAAUAUUGAGGGCAAAUGUGUUUUGUCAGUCCAGUGUUGGAUAUAAUUCAUAAAACAUUAAUCAAUAUAAAACACAUCCUAGGUUCUAACUUAACUUUGUGUCAGCGGGCCUAAAACAUUCGAUGUGUGGCGUAUUAAUUAAGGUAUUAUUGAAUGUCGUCCUGCACGACAUUAUUGUUGUGAGUGCACUUGUUUGGUACUUUAAAGUCCUUCUAAUUUGUUGAUUUCUUAGUCGGGUUGUUCCAAUAUACCUAACUUAAAUAAUGUUGAAUCACCCUUAGUAUAAGUUGCCUGCUUUCUAUUUUUAUUUUUUAACAGCUUAUCUAUGUUAUGCAGCCUUCAUAGCCUUACAUCCCCCGUUUAUCAUAGAACUUUCAAUAGGACAAUUAAGUGCAAUUUCAUGAAAAGCGGCAUAUGGCCCAGGUAAAAAGUGUUUGUGCACUAAAGGAGACAACAAUGGACGGGACUGAAUAAAAUUGAAUUUUUAAGGGGGGUGUAAGUUUAUGAAGGCUAAAUAUUAACAUAGAUAAGCUGUCACAAGACAAAGUUAGAAAGUAGGCAAUUUAUACUAAGGGUGAUUCAACAUGAUUUAAGUGAGGUAUAUUGGAACAACCCACCUAGGAAAACAACAAAUUAGAAAGACUUUAAAGUUGCAUUUAGCGAAACGCGUCAAUAAUAGUGUAGACGCGUUUAAAUAAAAUACUUUGUUGAACUUUUUACGUGUAAAUAAGGUAUAAAUCAUAAUGCACAAAUAUUUUGUUACUUUGAAAUAAAAAAAAGAUAUAAAUGAAUAGAAAUAUUGAUAUUUCUAUCAACAAAAUCAAAAUGAAAGCUGUUGUUUUUAAUGUGACUAUUCAAUUAUAUUAAAACAAAUAUGCUUGUGAAAAUAAUCGUCGACAGAAAAGUGGUAAAAUAAAGAUAGGCUGUAUGGUAUAAACAAGGGUCAAGAGAGGGUCAAAAUGGCCUAAAUGAAGAUAGCAAAACGAGAUAUUACCUCAAUUAACGCAGUUUUAGUAAUUCAUCAGAGGACGAUUUGCACAAGCUUUUCAAAUAUUUUAAAAGAAGUUUUAUAAGAUAUAUCUAUAUACUAAUACGAUCAAUGAGUCCUAAAUCUUAAAACUUACGAAAUUUUCAAAAGAUCAUUACAUGUAGCAUUAUGUUUCUUUAUUCACAUUUAUUGAUUCUUAUCAUUUUUAAGAGUAUCAACCGCUCGUGAAAGUAUCUUAACUACUAGAAUGCCAACUUAUCAUAUAGGACCGUUGUUUUGUGAUAUUGUUUGGUGUACAUGUAAUGAAUAACAUGCAGUAUAUGGUUGAUACGGUGCAUUAGGACUUUUGUAAAUAUCACGGCGUUUUACAACGAUACCAGUCAUAGACGCUAUUGUCAAAUAAUUUAAUCUAACUGUUUCACAAUCUUUUUUUAAUGUAUAAAUUUUUUUCUUCUGACCUGGUGUAAAUAAGGCAUUGGCUGUUUUUGACCCAAACUUGUCUUUGAUUCAAAAGUGUACCAGUUCAUGUAAAAUGUUGAAUUCUGCUUAAGCCGGUGCUAGGGGGCGUGGAUGGUAACUUGCACUUUCCAGUACCGUCCAUGAAAAGGCUCAAUCAAACCGAGCCGUGUUGGGCUUACUUUAGGGAUUCUGUUUCCUCUAUUUCACCAUCGUCUUCUAUACUUGUAGUGUAAAUGCGUAACUUAUAUACACCUCUCCAUCACGAUCAUGACACAUGAAUAAUUUGCAGAUAAUGUUUAAUAUUCAAUAAUAGUAGAUUGGAGCAUUUUCUUCAAAACCAAGCUUUUGCACAAUACCGUUUUAUUAUUGGAAUGGAGUCCUGCAUUAAAACAAAGCUUAUUGCAUUGUAAAUAAAACGUUUUUUGCCACAAAAAAAAAGAUAAAUAUUCUCUUUUAAUUCAAAAUAUGAAAGGCCGAGUUUGACUUAAAAUCUGCAUUGAGCGAGUUUGCAGUUUAAGAGCAAUUCAAAAUAAUAUUGAACUUAUGACACUGUGACCUGUAAUUAAAUACGUAAACUGCACUCUUUGUCCCGAGAGUUUGAUAUAUGUCGAAUUAUUAAGAUUGAAUAAUUCUGAAUCUGGAAGGGAUCAUUUAUUAGUGUGGCUGCCAGAUAUUAUAUAUAAUUUAUUUAAAACAUACUUUGAAACAUUCUGGAAUAAACAAACAGAAAUAUUGGUUACUGAAAGAUAUUGUCAAACCGUGAUGUGAAACAAUAUCGAUAAACAGUUUUUGAUUGCGUUUUCGUUUUAAAAUUUGUAUGGGUUAUGUUAAGGCUGUUUUAUGCUGAUUAGAUACAAUGUAAGUUACAUAAAUACUUUUAAUAAGUCUACAAGCCACAAAACAUUAUAUCAAUACUUUCAACGGAGUUUUAUUGUGUUGCUUUAUGUUGCUGUGCCCGAAGGUAUUCACAACUUACCGAUCAAUUUGAUAAAAUUAAUUUUGAAAACAUAAAAAUUGACCGGAUGAUAAGCAUGUUGUUUGAAAACAUACGGGUGUUUGCAAAAUAUACAUAUUAAAUCACAUACAUUUCAAUGUUGGAAUGGCAUUUAGCACAUUAUAGCGUGUGAAACAUGUAAAUAUGAUUAAUGUCGUUAUUUUAUUAUAGAACGGAUGGCGACAUUCAUAAUUUAGAUGUCUAGUCGUAUACUGCAGCCUGUUAUAACGUGACACCGUAUUUACAGAUAUAUGAGACAUUUGUUGUGCAAUCAUAGAAGUAACUUGAGAAUAUACCAGGUAUAAAGUAAAUUAACGUUCGGUUAUUCAGCGUUAAAUUUAUAACGGUAGCUAGCACCAUGAUAAGUAAGCAAACAUUAGUCAUUAAACAUAAUUCAUCAAAAAGAAUUGUCUUCCAAGGGUUCUUAUAUCAAUCCUAAAUUAAAACACGUGCCUUAAUAACAAAUGUUAAAAAGAGUUUUUAGUAAUAUGUUUAUCUUUGGAAAAACAUAUAUACAAUUCUUGUUUCUUUAUUCCUUGUUUCUUUGUUAAACUUUCUUGAUUCCUUAUCUAACAUUUUGAAAAAAACUUUUGCGAUAACCGUAAAUAAUUAAGUUUCAAUGUAAUUAUAUUAUCAUUACAAAUGUAACUGACUAUCAAAAUACUGAAAUGAUAUAAUUUGUAUAAAUUGGACAUAAAUGUUAUUUUCAUCUCCUGUUACUUUGUAAUUGUCUUGACAGAAUAUUAAAUGAUUUUGUUCGUGUUUUUUUCCGGUGUGUAUAUUAAAAAUAAUUUUGACAUAAGUCUGUAAUCAAACAAAUAAUAGAGAAGGGUUAUGUUUCCAGUAUCUAGUUAAUCUUUUUCAUCAUUACGCACAUAAAUGAAAAGUAGAAUAAACAGUGUUUUUCGUCAUUAUAUUGACAAAGUACUAAUUAAAAAGAAAUAAAAACAAAAAUAGGAAUUGUAUAUUUAUAAAGCUUGAAUAAAUUAAGCGUUUCGCAACAGCUUGUUGCUUUUCAAAACCCAGAGUUUCUCAAUGAUAAUAUUGAUAAAGAGAUCGAACAACGUGGCAGGGUAUGUAAAUUAAAGAUUCAUUUUUAUUUCUACACAAUUAUUUUGUAAAUGUAUGCAGUUAAACUUUUAUUGUUUGUAUGCAUUCAAAUUACGAUAUUUUCAUAUUUGAUGGCCCAGUCACAUUCUUAAUAUGUCAAUAAGUACAUAUUAUAUCAUGACAUGUUCUAAGAAUGAGUUUACUAAGCGCAUUCUUAUACUAGUUAUUUUUUUUAUAUAUGUUAUAGACCGUUGGUUAUUAAGCUGUCACAACAUAUUGCUCCGUUAUUUAGAUACCCGCCUGUUUCUUAUUGUACAAAUAGAUGUCAUGUGUAACAAUAUUGCAAUGUUUUACACGGUACAUAUUUCAUAUAUUUAUUGUAGUCCGUCUUACCCAUGUCUUUAUGUACGUUUAUCGUUAGAAGAUUUUUUUGUCUUUUACUGAAUAUUUUAUCUUUCUAAAGUAGUACAAAAACCACCAUAAAACUGUAAACAUAAAAAUUGCUAGGUUUUAUUGUACACUAUUUGAUUGAUGAAAUAUUUGCAUAAGAAGCCGAUAUGAUAAGGAAAAAGGUUCGUGGGAGAAACGUAUUUGUCUGCUGUUCGUGCAAACAGAUAAACGACAAUGUGAAAAUAAUAUUCUGUUGUUAUAGAAAAAGCUAAACAGAAUGAUACAGAGCAUAAUCGACAAAGGGAUACACUUAAUAUAAUUGAAUAUGAAAACAUGCCAUAUUUCUUUAUGUAGUAGAUGCAGGUGCAUAUGACUAAUACUCGAAUUUUGAAAACCAUAAUAUAUUAUCAAAAGACGUGCACACUAUUGUAAUGUAACACGAUAACGCCAAAAAUUACCUUUAUAUUUUUUUAAUAUCUUGUUAAAUAUACUUAUUUUUCAGCAUAUUUCAAGACAUUAAAAUAAUAAGGUUAUACAGGUACUCAUCAAUAAGUUAUGUUAUGUACGUUAAGAUCUUUGAAAAUUACAAAAAUUCAAUUAAACAGUUUUUCCUUGAAAUAAGCACAAUACCGGUAUUUCGAUAAAAAGGCGUUAAACUUAAGAUGAUGUUUCGUGUACACUUUUAUUAAUGUAUUUCCUAGUUAUAAAUAGCUCACACGAAAAGUUGUUCUACCAUGUCAUAAUUAAAAUUCAUUAUUAUCUUGAUAAAAUAAACACGCUUUUUGUGCUAAAUUAAUGACAAGAAUUUUGUCUAAUUAUUCCAAGUUCCUUUAGAUUAAAAUUGCUAACAGACCGACAAAAAAUCUUCUAUUAUACGACUGUGCUAUGGUAUUUUCAUGUUUUGAACAGAUUCAGCAUUUAUAUAAUGGCAGAUUUAACCGAAGUAUGACCGAAGGGUUAUUCAACAUCAGAAGAGAGAAUCGGCCCAGACUUUUUCGGUUCAAAUAGAAAAUAGUCUCGGGGAAUAGUACAUAUGUGUUAUGUAAAAUGUAUAAGUGUGUGUACUAAAACUACGAAAUGUAACACUUAAUGACAGUGAUGAUUCGAAUUAGCAAGCAAAACAUUACAAACAAUGGCUAUUGAAACUUCAAGGAAGAAGUAAUCGAGAGGUAAUCGAGUGGUGCUUGGGAAUUCGUUAAUUAAUCAGAUUUAAGAAGAAAGAAACAGUGAUUUGACAUUAAACAAUCAAUAAGAUGAUACUGGAUAUUAAUAUAAAAAGGCGUCAAAUAAGGAAUAACCAUAAAAUACGGAUAAAACGGAUAAAAGACAAGUGAUGCAUUGGAACAAACGCAAAUAAUUUUGAAUGCGCGCUGAAGACAUCAGGCAUAAACAUUUAACUUUGAAGUUGCUGAAGUGAUUUUGGUAUUCUCAAUUCAUCAUGUUUCAACUAAAGUUUUUUUGUUUUUCUUUUUUUUAAGAAUCAAACUUGUUACUAGUAUUUGAUUCCGCUAAAAAUAUAAUUCCGGGAAAUGUAUAAAUAAUAUGUCUUAUCAGUGCUUUGAGUUUUGUGUAAUAUAAUAUUGCGCAAUAUUAUCAUAUUUGAUAAGUAUGGAUUUCUGAUACAUAUUGUGCCAUAAACUUCUGUUUGUUCAUAAUAUUUGAUAUUAAAUACUUAAAGGCACGUCAUGCCUCAAAAAUGCUGUUAGUUUCAUUUAUGUUUGGUAUCUUGUUACCGUUUUAUAAAAAUAGUACGCACUCAUUGUCCAUAUAGAACAAUUUUGUGAUUGAUAUAUUUUGGGACAUAUUGUGCCUUUAACCUUUUUAAAAUUUUGAUACUAGCUUUUAACAUCCAAUAUCUUUCUUUGAUAAACAUCUUUUCUUAAUAUGUUAAAUAUGUUUCAAUGUUCAAAUUGAUUUUUAUUUUUGUUUCUGAUUUUCGAUAUCAGUUAGGAAAUUAGACAUGAGAUCAGAAAUCUCCAUAAAUAAUUUAUUAGUUAUUAUCAUUACAUUUGAUGAAUGUUCAGUAACCUCAACUUUGUCUUAUUUUUAGUUUGUUUAAAUAACAAUGCAAAAAAUUUUAUGAUGAAAAUUGAAACUUUAAGCUCUUUCUAUGCUAUGCAUAAAUUUUAUUGCAAGUUAAAUAAAACAUAUCAUUGAACAUACGUUUGAAUAUAUUUAGGACUAUAGUUGUAAUAACAAGGCAGCAUGGCUUAAAACGGCCGAACAUUUUUAAGAUACUUUUGUUGUUAGAUAAAAUUAAUAGUUUAGUUUCAUUUUCAGUUAUGUAUCCAUAUUGUUUCUUUUGUUUGUUUUUAUUUAAGUUUAACUUGUGUUACAUAAUUGUUAUCAUAAAGUAAGUAAUAUAUAUUUUAUUAUAUUAUUUUUAAAACGCAUUCUUUUAAAUGAAAUACCUGAAGAUAGUGUAGAACUUCUCACAAAUUGUGUUAUUAAUCAAUUUAAUGUUUAACUUUUAUUAUGUCUGCGUAAUGCGUAAUGGACUAUUAGUGCUAGCAUUUCUCAGGGCAGUGUAUUUAUUGACUUCUAGCUAAAAUGAUUAAUGUAAAAUCGACUGUCAGUUUUACAACUAGAGAUUGUACGAUUAGCCUAGAAUGAAAGCUUAUAAGUUUUACAAUUUCUUUGAGUAAAGAUAUUUAAGAACAUUGAAUUGUCACUUUUAGAACAUACAUGGAUAACAAACAGUUACAUUUUAAAUGUCCGCAUAAUCUUGAAUAUUAUUUCAAAAUUAUUAGCAGUUGAAGACGUGUCAUAUUACCAUAAAAUCUUUUAAAAUAAAACGUUGGUUGAAUGAGCUCUGUCUUCUUUCUGAACCGGGUUAUAUAAUUAUGAUAUUUACUCAUCAUUAAAACAAAAGAUUUUCAUGACACCAAACUCACAUCAUCGCAUAUACAAUUAAUAUUGAUAAACCGCAUUUUUUACUACAUUUUAACCAUUUGAUGUUUUUUUUUCACUUUUCAAGCACUUUGUAUUACAUCAAUAAUUUAUGUAUUUAUUUAUUUUAACUAAUUAAUUAAUUAAUUUAUUUAUUAAUUGAUUUUUUUAAUUUAUUUAUGUUAUCUUUAUUUCUUCAUUUUAUUUAUUCAUCAUUAAUAAAUUGAUUUAUUUAUUUACUUAAUUAUUUAUUCAUUUAUUUAUUUACUAGUUUUCAUAUAGUUAUACAUGUAUUUACUUAUAUUUACUUAUCUAUUCAUCCCUUUAUUUAUUUAUGAAUAAUUAAAAAAAGGAUAAAGUAAAAAUCUUCCUAUCAUGAAAUGCUAUAUAAACUGCUUUAAAAAAACAUGUACUUUACGAGUAAAUUGCCUGUUCAUUUUGUUAAACGUUAGAAAGCAAAGGAGCUUAUCUUUCACCUAUUUGCCACUUCAAACAACUUUUCUAUGUCCUUCCUGAAUUUAUGGGUAUUUUGGAAAAACACAUACCGGUAAAUAUAACAGUUAUAUUGUUAAAGCACAAUAUUUAAGACUUCUAAGCAUAGAUACUAUAGUAAAAUGAGAAAAAUAGUAUAAUAUUAAACUAAAAAUAACGGACAAUUUUUUUUCUCAUUUUAAUAUCAUUAUUAUUAUUAUAAUUUGUUUAUUUGUGUUAUCAUUAUUAUUUUAUUUAUUAUCUAAAUAAAUAGAGGAUAUUCAAGAUUUUUCUAUAAAUACAUGAUUUAUUUUCAUCGAGUGGUAUGAAAAUAAAUAUUUCAUGAGUGGCGGUAGCCACGAGUGAAAUAUGGUAAUUUUCAUGCUACAAGAUGAAAAUAAAUCAUGUAUUUAUAGAAAAAACUUGAAUUUUCUGUUAAUUAUAUGCAUUUUUCUCUUUUUGACAUUAAAAUUUGAAAGACUUUCCCUUAAAUUUUGUGUACUGGCAGAAUUUAAAAGAAAGUAGUCCGGCAAGACACCAGUGAAAAUACGGAAAAUAUGUUUCACUGCUGUGAAAAAUAGAUUUUUAUAGUUAAAAUACGGAAAAUGAAAAUACGCAUUUUAUUACAUCAAUAUUUUUCAAUAUUUCAUUUAUAAGUAUAUAAUAAAUAUUAUAUAUUUGCGCUAGUUUUUUUCCUAAAAAAGGUGAUAAUUAAUGUAAAUAAUGAUUACACUUUAGGUAAAUGGAUAAGUAUUUUGUAUAAACAGAUAGCUGAUUGACAAUAAUAUGUUAUUACUAGCUUGAAAAAUAUGAUAUCAAUAUCAGUUUUUGAUAGCUUUUAAAUAUUUUUUCUAAUAUUUGUUUUAUUUACUACAUAUUCUCACUGUAACAAUAUGAUGCAUGAUGGAAAAUGUUAAAUAAAGUAACGAAUUGUCACCAAAAUAAAACAAA